AGUGGCGAAAGGGCGAGUAAUGCAUAUCUAACGUGCCCCGAGGUGGGGGAUAGCGUCGGGAAACCGUCGGUAAGACCCCAUGGUCCUCAGCGACCGCAUGGCCGCUGAGGUAAAGGUUACGCCUCGGGAUCGGGAUAUGUCCUAUCAGCUUGUUGGUGAGGUAACGGCUCACCAAGGCGAAGACGGGUAGCGGGUGUGAGAGCAUGACCCGCCGCAUCGGGACUGAGACACUGCCCGGACUCCUACGGGAGGCUGCAGUAACGAAUAUUCCGCAAUGCGCGAAAGCGUGACGGAGCAAUGCCGCGUGAAGGAUGAAGCCCCUCGGGGUGUAAACUUCUGUCAGGGACUACCAAGAUCUGAGGAAUCCCAAAGGAAGGGCCGGCUAACUUCGUGCCAGCAGCCGCGGUAAUACGAAGGGCCCGAGCGUUAAUCGGAAUCACUGGGCUUAAAGGGUGCGCAGGCGGACUCGUCAGUGUCUUGUGAAACCCCACGGCUCAACCGUGGAAUUGCUUGGCAUACUGCGAGUCUUGAGCCCGACAGAGGCCGUCGGAACGAUAGGUGGAGCGGUGAAAUGCGUAGAUAUCUAUCGGAACGCCAAAGACGAAGGUAGGCGGCUGGGUCGGAGCUGACGCUCAGGCACGAAAGCGUGGGUAGCGAACGGGAUUAGAUACCCCGGUAGUCCACGCCCUAAACGUUGCGUACUAGGUCGGGGAGGUUUUGACGCCAUCCCGGCCGAAGCUAAAGCGUUAAGUACGCCGCCUGGGGAGUACGGUCGCAAGAUUAAAACUCAAAGGAAUUGACGGGGGCUCACACAAGCGGUGGAGCAUGUGGCUUAAUUCGAAGCAAUGCGAAGAACCUUAUCCAGGGUUUGACAUGUAUGGAUUAACUCUGUGAAAGCGGAGCCACACCCUUGGGUGGAACAUACACAGGUGCUGCAUGGCUGUCGUCAGCUCGUGCUGUGAAGUGUCGGGUUAAGUCCCUUAACGAGCGAAACCCCUGUCGUUAGUUGCCAGCGAGUCAUGUCGGGGACUCUAACGAGACCGCCGGUGUCAAACCGGAGGAAGGUGGGGACGACGUCAAGUCAUCAUGGCCUUUAUGCCCUGGGCUGCACACGUGCUACAAUCGCGCGGACAGAACGAAGCAAUACCGCAAGGUGGAGCAAAUCGAUAAACCGCGCGCCAGUUCGGAUUGUGGUCUGCAACUCGACCACAUGAAGGUGGAAUCGCUAGUAAUCGCGUAUCACGCAAUGACGCGGUGAAUACGUUCCUGAGCAUUGUACACACCGCCCGUCACGUCAUGGGAGCCGGCAGCGCCAGAAUGGCCCAGAUUCAUGGUCCAUACGGCGAGGCUUCAAACUGGGACGAAGUCGUAACAAG
rnacentral:rRNA from 1 species